rnacentral:rRNA from 1 species
AACGAACGCUGGCGGCGUGCUUAACACAUGCAAGUCGAACGCGAAAGGGACUUCGGUCCCGAGUAGAGUGGCGCACGGGUGAGUAACGCGUAAGUAAUCUACCCCCGCAUUCGGAAUAACUCGUCGAAAGGUGAGCUAAUACCGGAUACGUUUAUCUUGAUGCGAAUGAUGAUAACGAAAGGUGGCCUCUUCAUGAAAGCUACUGUGCAGGGAUGAGCUUGCGUACCAUUAGCUAGUUGGUAGGGUAAUGGCCUACCAAGGCGACGAUGGUUAGCGGGUCUGAGAGGAUGAUCCGCCACACUGGAACUGGAACACGGACCAGACUCCUACGGGAGGCAGCAGUGAGGAAUAUUGCGCAAUGGGGGCAACCCUGACGCAGCGACGCCGCGUGGAUGAUGAAGGCCCUUGGGUCGUAAAAUCCUGUCAGAUGGAAAGAAAUGUAUGGGUGUUAAUAUCGCCUGUAUUUGACGGUACCAUCAAAGGAAGCACCGGCUAACUCCGUGCCAGCCGCCGCUGUAA